rnacentral:rRNA from 1 species
CCUACGGGCGGCAGCAGUAGGGAAUAUUGCUCAGUGGGGGCAACUCUGAAGCAGCAACGCCGCGUGGAGGAUGAAGGUCUUCUGAUUGUAAACUCCUUUUGUUAGAGAAGAUAACUACGUUAGCUAAAGAAUAAGCACCGGCGAACGCCGUGCCAGCCGCCGCGGUAACACGGAGGGUGCAAGCGUUAUCCGGAAUCACCGGGCGUAAAGAGCGCGUAGGGGGGAUAGCAAGUCCGCUGGGAAAUCCUAGGGCUUAACCAUGGAACUGCAGUUGAAACUGGGGUGCUUGAGUAUGGGAGAGCGAGGUGGAAUUCUUGGUGUAGGGGUAAAAUGCGUAGAGAUCAAGAGGAAUACUCAUUGCGCAGGCGACCUGCU